GUCCCUAUAGCGCAAUCAAUAGCGCGUUGGACUUCUAAUUCAGAGGUCGUGAGCUCGAAUUUCACCUGGGACG